ensembl:lncRNA
GGAUUGUGGAGGUGGCAUGCCUGAAGGAGAAGGACGGUGACGCUUGCUCUGCCCUCGUGGGUCUGGCUUCAUUCUGGGACAGAAAGCAGGCAGAGGACACUGAGAUGGGGAGGGCACUAUGGCCCUGAUCCAUUUCAGUAGCACACUCACUAUACAAAGGAGGCUGUCCACCAGGCAACGAACAGCUCAGGGAGGAUCAUCGGGGAGGAUGCACACAAUGCUUACAUCUUUUGUCCUGAGUCACUGAAUUUCAGGAGGCAACCGAAGAUUCCACCAGCUUCAGAUUCUGAAUCUGCAACCCAACCCAUCUCUCCAGUGAGCAGAGUUAAACUGCACCCCUGGGAGGAAGUGAGACUAGAAAUAAUAGAAGUGGAAAUCAGAAUUGGCAUAGAGAUCAUGAACAAAGCCAAUUGAGAGCCACAGAUUUGCCACUUCUGUAAAUAUUUACAGACAGAAUAUUAUUCAACUCAAGCUAAAGUGAAAACACCAAUGAUGCUUGAAGCCUCUUUUGGCCUUAGGUGUGAUCAGAGCCCUCAGUGACCAGGACCUUCAUAUUCACGUGAGACUGGUUUUGAACAAAUGCUUUUGCAAGAAGCACAGGGCGUGCUGCGUGGAGGAAGUACAAUGACGAUGGGGUUCGUUCUUCUUGGAAUGAUCAAGGUUAGUAUUUUUUCUUAUUGAUUCCUGUAUUUAAAUGUUAGAGGGAUGAACCCUGUCAUUUUGUAGCAAAAAUAUAUUUUGGGUUUGUCCUUUGUCUCCUUACUUCAUUUGAUAUAUUUUGGUCUGCAUACAAGCAUAAACUUUUCCCAUAGUCAAAUACAGUGUUUCUUGUCCUUCAUGGGUUUUUCCAUUGCUUUUAGAUUUCAUGAGCUUUCCCCUGCAAUGAAAUUUGUUACUUAUUAACUAUUUUUUCACCCAAUAGUUUUUUAUGCUUUGGCUAAUAUAAAACUAGGUGUCUUUUGGUGCAUGCA